rnacentral:rRNA from 1 species
UCGAGAAUCAUUCGCAAUGGGCGCAAGCCUGACGGUGCGACGCCGCGUGGAGGAUGAAGGUCCUAGGAUCGUAAACUCCUGUCAUGAGAGAGCAAAGCUUCCCAUUUAAAAGAUAGGAAGUCUGAUAGUAUCUCAAGAGGAAGGGACGGCUAACUCUGUGCCAGCAGCCGCGGUAAUACAGAGGUCCCAAGCGUUGUUCGGAUUCAUUGGGCGUAAAGGGUGCGUAGGUGGCGAAGUAAGUCAGGUGUGAAAUUUCGGGGCUCAACCCAGAAACUGCACUUGAUACUGCUUUGCUAGAGGAUUGGAGAGGAGAUUGGAAUUCACGGUGUAGCAGUGAAAUGCGUAGAUAUCGUGAGGAAGACCAGUGGCGAAGGCGGAUCUCUGGACAAAUCCUGACACUGAGGCACGAAGGCCAGGGUAGCGAACGGGAUUAGAUACCCCUGUAGUCC